AAAUUGAAGAGUUUGAUCAUGGCUCAGAUUGAACGCUGGCGGCAGGCCUAACACAUGCAAGUCGAGCGGUAGCACAGGAGAGCUUGCUCUCCGGGUGACGAGCGGCGGACGGGUGAGUAAUGUCUGGGAAACUGCCUGAUGGAGGGGGAUAACUACUGGAAACGGUAGCUAAUACCGCAUAACGUCGCAAGACCAAAGAGGGGGACCUUCGGGCCUCUUGCCAUCAGAUGUGCCCAGAUGGGAUUAGCUAGUAGGUGGGGUAACGGCUCACCUAGGCGACGAUCCCUAGCUGGUCUGAGAGGAUGACCAGCCACACUGGAACUGAGACACGGUCCAGACUCCUACGGGAGGCAGCAGUGGGGAAUAUUGCACAAUGGGCGCAAGCCUGAUGCAGCCAUGCCGCGUGUAUGAAGAAGGCCUUCGGGUUGUAAAGUACUUUCAGCGGGGAGGAAGGUGUUGAGGUUAAUAACCUCAGCAAUUGACGUUACCCGCAGAAGAAGCACCGGCUAACUCCGUGCCAGCAGCCGCGGUAAUACGGAGGGUGCAAGCGUUAAUCGGAAUUACUGGGCGUAAAGCGCACGCAGGCGGUCUGUCAAGUCGGAUGUGAAAUCCCCGGGCUCAACCUGGGAACUGCAUUCGAAACUGGCAGGCUAGAGUCUUGUAGAGGGGGGUAGAAUUCCAGGUGUAGCGGUGAAAUGCGUAGAGAUCUGGAGGAAUACCGGUGGCGAAGGCGGCCCCCUGGACAAAGACUGACGCUCAGGUGCGAAAGCGUGGGGAGCAAACAGGAUUAGAUACCCUGGUAGUCCACGCCGUAAACGAUGUCGACUUGGAGGUUGUUCCCUUGAGGAGUGGCUUCCGGAGCUAACGCGUUAAGUCGACCGCCUGGGGAGUACGGCCGCAAGGUUAAAACUCAAAUGAAUUGACGGGGGCCCGCACAAGCGGUGGAGCAUGUGGUUUAAUUCGAUGCAACGCGAAGAACCUUACCUACUCUUGACAUCCAGAGAACUUAGCAGAGAUGCUUUGGUGCCUUCGGGAACUCUGAGACAGGUGCUGCAUGGCUGUCGUCAGCUCGUGUUGUGAAAUGUUGGGUUAAGUCCCGCAACGAGCGCAACCCUUAUCCUUUGUUGCCAGCGGUCCGGCCGGGAACUCAAAGGAGACUGCCAGUGAUAAACUGGAGGAAGGUGGGGAUGACGUCAAGUCAUCAUGGCCCUUACGAGUAGGGCUACACACGUGCUACAAUGGCGCAUACAAAGAGAAGCGACCUCGCGAGAGCAAGCGGACCUCAUAAAGUGCGUCGUAGUCCGGAUUGGAGUCUGCAACUCGACUCCAUGAAGUCGGAAUCGCUAGUAAUCGUAGAUCAGAAUGCUACGGUGAAUACGUUCCCGGGCCUUGUACACACCGCCCGUCACACCAUGGGAGUGGGUUGCAAAAGAAGUAGGUAGCUUAACCUUCGGGAGGGCGCUUACCACUUUGUGAUUCAUGACUGGGGUGAAGUCGUAACAAGGUAACCGUAGGGGAACCUGCGGUUGGAUCACCUCCUUA
rnacentral:rRNA from 1 species